rnacentral:tRNA from 1 species
GGCACUGUGGCUUAGUUGGUCGAAGUGCCUGCCUUGUAAACAGGAGAUCUGGGUUCAUGUCCCAACAGUGCCU